UACAGAGGGUGCAAGCGUUAAUCGGAAUUACUGGGCGUAAAGCGUGCGUAGGCGGUUAUUUAAGUCAGGUGUGAAAGCCCCGGGCUCAACCUGGGAAUUGCAUUAGAGACUGAAUAGCUAGGGUGCGGAAGAGGGAAGCGGAAUUUCCGGUGUAGCGGUGAAAUGCGUAGAUAUCGGAAGGAACACCAGUGGCGAAAGCGGCUUCCUGGUCCAGCACCGACGUUCAGGCACGAAAGCGUGGGGAGCAAACAGG
rnacentral:rRNA from 1 species